CUUUUAUUGCCAGUGACCGAGAGAUGGCUAGAGCUCAAAAUUCUCUCAGCCCCGAAGAAGGGGAUAGAUUUCUUUUUAUACCGUGGUCUAAAUAGGGCAGGGGGAGCCUAGCUGAAGCAAUUUUUACAGAAGCAGAACACGCAAAAAGUUAAAAAAAAUUAAUGGUUACAGAGAUAGUUACAGAAAAAUACACAGUUCCAGGUGCAGGGGCUUAAACUAUCACAAAGAGAUAAAUGCAGGGGCUUGGGUACCAUCCACUGAGCACGUCCCCAGGAGCUGCUGGUACAGCUUGCCUCAAUAUCUUAUCAGUAAGUGCAUUCCUGGAUGUGCUUGGAGUCAGCUUGCACUAGUUAUUCCCUUAAGGGAGGGGGAUAAGGGGACUGCAAGUGAAGAGGCUAAAAUGGAGUCUGUCCAGCUCUCUCAGCUGAGAGAGAGUCACUCAGAUUAAAACAGGAUAGGGUAUCCCAGAUAGACAGUUCAUUAGAUAUGUAACUGAUGAUAGAUAGACUACUUUUAUGGCUCCUCCCAUGUCCAUUAAAACUAAAACCGUGUGUGAUUAUGUUUCCUUGAAUCAUUACCACUUUUUUCUUCCUAAGCACAUUAACUUCCUAUUUCACCAUAGAAACUUUCAAUAUUUUUUCAGAAACUCAGGGCUUUUGGGUAUGCCCUCCCACUGUCUAGUUUUUGUGCUUUCUUUUGGAGUCCUCUCUGGAGGCCACAACCAUUUUUGGAGCAUGCCCAGCAGAGGAAGUGGUGGAUCUAGUUCCUCCUGGAAUGGCUUUGGUGAUGCUCUUUGCUGUGGAUCAACUACAAUCUGCUCCAACACCCCUUCCUCCUUUCUUUUUUCUUUGCCUCACCUCCUCUCCCACAUCUCUAUUCCUCCCAGCCUUUCUUCACUCCUCUGUACGCCCAUCAUUCUCCUCCACCUCCAAGGUCACAGGCAUCACCAUGUAAGCCUCCCAUCCCAGAAAACCAGCCUCCAAGAUAACCCCAUGAUCCCCACCUUCUUGUAUGUACAUCCUUGUGUAGGACCCUCCUGCACUGAGCAGGGCUGAGCUGUGUUAGCACUGGGAUAUAUGGGAAUGACAAGGUGGCAUGUGACUUCCAAAGUUAAUGUCACUUUGCUGUCUUGGAUUACUAAGCCAGCUGUCAUGUUGUGAGGAGGCUCAAGUUGUCCUAUGGGGGGUCCUGUAGCAAGGAACUGAGCUCUCCUGCUGACAGCCAGCAGUACCUUCCCAACCAUUAGAGUGAGUCACCCUAGAAGCAAAUUCUCCAGCUCCAGUGCAUCCUUUAGAUAACUGCCACUCUGGUCACUAUCUUAUCUACAACCUCAUGAGAAACCUCAGCCAGAACCACCCAGCUAAGUUGCCUCUGAAUUCCUGAGCCACAGAAACUGGGAGAUAAUGUUUACUGUUUAAGACUUUAAAUUUGGAGUAAUUUGCUAUUCAGCCAUAGAAAGUGACACUCAUUUCUUCGUGCCCGACACUGCUGUCUCUGUGGUUUCACAUCCCUGUGGUUAAAGCUCUCCAAGGGCUCAUCACUAAUUUCAGGAUAAAAUCUAAAUCCCUUAACAUAGCAUAGGUUUUUUACAAACUGCCUCCUGUGUGCCUCUCAGCCCCAUCCGGCCCACUCUGCCUUUCCUCCCUGCAUCACUCCAGCUACUCUGAAACAUACUGCACCUUCCUAAAUGCGGACAGAUAAAAUUGACAGACUUUUCAUAGGAUGCCCAGUGAAAUUUGAAUUUCAGAUAAACAAUGAAUAAUGUGUGUGGUUAUACAAUAUUUGGGACAUACUUAUACUAAAAAUAUUGCAUGACACAUAUUCUUCAAAGUUAUUAUUUUAUCUGAAAUUCACAUUUAAUAGGGCAUCUUGUACUUUCCGUUGCUAAAUCUGGCAACCCUACAGAUGUGAGCUGUUCACUUUCAGCUCCUGCUCAGCCCCAGCUGGAUCACUACAGCUCCCCUUGACUAAUUCCCUGCCCUACAAGACUCGGCCCAGACAUCAGUGCCCCUAGAAAGCCUAGGCUAACUUCUCUGCACCAUACACACCUAGGAUGGGUCAGAUGUGCCUGCUGCAGGCUCCCGCCCACCUGUCACACCUCUCUCACACCACACACUUUGCAAGUAUUUG
rnacentral:lncRNA from 1 species